CGGGCAGGGAAUGAAAGGCCAAGCUCUAGCCACCUCCAGCAAGGUGUCAGGGAGAGCCCGCAGAUGGACAUACUGAACACAACCACUGGCUGGUGCUGAAGGAGCCUGGGCAGCGUGUUCUGGAGCAGGUAGGUACAUCAUACAUGAGCACUGGAUGAAGGGUGGCCAACUCCUGCCUGACAGAACUGAGUGGAGAAGCACAUGAGAAUAGAAGCAAAAUGCUGCAGAACUAAAGCCAAGAAACACUUCAAAUAAGAUAGGGUAGGUCCAGUAAGACAAAAUCCAAGUCUAGAAGCCUGGGUCAUUCUAGUUAAAC
rnacentral:lncRNA from 1 species